UACGUAGGGGGCGAGCGUUGUCCGGAAUUAUUGGGCGUAAAGAGCGUGUAGGCGGCCAGAUAAGUCCGCUGUGAAAUCUCGAGGCUCAACCUCGAGACGCCGGUGGAAACCGUGUGGCUAGAGUCCGGAAGAGGAGAGUGGAAUUCCUGGUGUAGCGGUGAAAUGCGCAGAUAUCAGGAGGAACACCGGUGGCGAAGGCGGGACUCUGGGCCGAUACUGACGCUGAGGAGCGAAAGCGUGGGGAGCGAACAGG
rnacentral:rRNA from 1 species